UACAGAGGGUGCAAGCGUUGUUCGGAAUCACUGGGCGUAAAGGGCGCGUAGGCGGCUCAUGAAGGCUGUGGUGAAAGUCCGGGGCUCAACCUCGGAUCGGCCGUGGCGACUCGUGGGCUGGAGCACUGUAGAGGCGGGUGGAAUUCCGGGUGUAGCGGUGGAAUGCGUAGAGAUCCGGAAGAACACCAGUGGCGAAGGCGGCCCGCUGGGCAGUGGCUGACGCUGAGGCGCGACAGCGUGGGGAGCAAACAGG
rnacentral:rRNA from 1 species